GGCGCGUAACGCCUACGCAAACUUUUACCACAAUUCUUCCUCCGUGUAACAUCAACUGUAAAUUAGUAUAAGUAGUUUGCAUAUUUCAUAUUAAAACCAACUGUCAGUCUCAUUCCGCUACCGACCUUUGCAAUGUAAAGAGCCAUUUUUGUAAUAUAAACUAUCUUGAAGAAUUUGGGCGUUUCAAUAGCUCCUAUCUGUAUAUCUAAAUAUACAUGAUGGUGGCCCAUGAGGGGAAUCCAAACAACAAAUGAAGAAUUGAAGAAUUACGCGAAAAUACGCCGGAUGGUGCGAGCAGUGGUGCAGCUAAGUUCCACAUCGUGCGCGGCGGUUCUGCUAAAAGAUAAGUGCCCUUCCUUACACUUCCUUUACCAAAUCCAUGUCCUAAAUCUCCUAUUAAGAAUCUGCAUCCAUUUGUGUUAAAUAAUUGUGGAAUUUCGUAACAAGUAAUUCGUUAACGAGAUUGCAUCAUCAUUCGAAUCUACCGUCGUUACAAAAUAAAAACAAAUUUCAAGAUAGUUUUGCAUUAAACAUCAAUUACCUAAUAAAUACAGUAAUGAAUACAUAAUUAUAUUUAAUAAAUAUUGAAAUACAAAUUAACUUUUCAUAGAUUUUGCAAUUUACUAGGUGUUUUUGAGAUUAUUUUCAUAGAUUAGUCAUCACAGUCAACUCGUCUCGAUCUAAGAUAGGUAUUAAAGCAUAUUGCCGACAAUUUCAGGGUGUAAUUAACGCUUGCGCUGCGCAAUCAAACAGCUGCGUUAAUACCUACGGCUACCCGAUAACGGCGGCGGCCAGCUGACCGGUUCCUGCGGCAAGUACCACCGAGACGAGGAGCGGCACUUCAUCAUCGGCAGGCCGCUGACUGCACUACCCACGCCACCUAUUGAAGACCACCACAAUGACCAUCCACGGAACCGCUAUCUACGGCUAGAAAGCAUAAGGCAGCACUUCUGGCGGAGGUGGAACAAGGAGUAUCUAUCAGAGCUACAACAGAGGACUAAAUGGCGUAUCAAUACAGCCCAGCUCAAUAUUGGAGAUAUGGUGCUCCUUGCUGAAGACCACGCGCCGCCCUUGAACUGGCGCCUGGGACGCGUGUUGCGGCUCUUCCCGGGACCCGACGGCAUCUCGAGAGUGGCGGAUGUCAACACGACCCGUGGCUGCGUGCGGCGGCCCCUAACUCGCCUCUGUCCACUCCCUACGACUGAAGAUCUUCAAGGUUGAAAGUGAUCUUUCAACGGCCGGGAGGAUGUUUCGGCGCGUAACGCCUACGCAAACUUUUACCACAAUUCUUCCUCCGUGUAACAUCAACUGUAAAUUAGUAUAAGUAGUUUGCAUAUUUCAUAUUAAAACCAACUGUCAGUCUCAUUCCGCUACCGACCUUUGCAAUGUAAAGAGCCAUUUUUGUAAUAUAAACUAUCUUGAAGAA